GACGAACGCUGGCGGCGUGCUUAACACAUGCAAGUCGAACGGAAAGGCCUGUCCUUCCUUGUGUUGGACGGGUACUCGAGUGGCGAACGGGUGAGUAACACGUGAGUGAUCUGCCCCCAACUUGGGUAUAAGCCUGGGAAACUGGGUCUAAUUCCCGAUAGGACUGCAGGGUGGUGCCUGUGGUGGAAAACGAUUUUCUAGUGGUUGGGGAUGAGCUCGCGGCCUAUCAGCUUGUUGGUGGGGUAAUGGCCUACCAAGGCGGCGACGGGUAGCCGGCCUGAGAGGGUGGACGGCCACAUUGGGACUGAGAGACGGCCCAGACUCCGACGGGAGGCAGCAGUGGGGAAUAUUGCACAAUGGGCGGAAGCCUGAUGCAGCGACGCCGCGUGGGGGAUGACGGCCUUCGGGUUGUAAACUCCUUUCGACCGCGAGGAAGCCGCCUGGUUGGAAGGGUGGUGACGGUAGUGGUAGAAGAAGCACUGGCUAACUACGUG
rnacentral:rRNA from 1 species